ACUUCUCGUGGCCCGUGGUGGUGGCGCUGGGACUGGCGAUCUCGGUGGCGCUGUCGGCGCUGUCGUUCUACACGAUCGAGCGCUG
rnacentral:tRNA from 2 species